ACGGGAGGCAGCAGUGGGGAAUAUUGCACAGUGGGGGAAACCCUGAUGCAGCGACGCCGCGUGGAGGAAGAAGGUCUUCGGAUUGUAAACUCCUGUUGUUAGGGACGAUAAUGACGGUACCUAACAAGGAAGCCACGGCUAACUACGUGCCAGCAGCCGCGGUAAAACGUAGGUGGCAAGCGUUGUCCGGAAUUACUGGGUGUAAAGGGAGCGCAGGCGGACUAUCAAGUUGGAAGUGAAACCCACGGGCUCAACCCGUGGCCUGCUUCGGAAACUGGUGGUCUUGAGUAGUGGAGAGGUAGGCGGAAUUCCCGGUGUAGCGGUGGAAUGCGUAGAUAUCGGGAGGAACACCAGUGGCGAAGGCGGCCUACUGGGCACCAACUGACGCUGAGGCUCGAAAGUAUGGGUAGCAAACAGGAUUAGAUACCCUGGUA
rnacentral:rRNA from 1 species